GGGACCUACAAGAAAAGUCUAAACCGGAGUUGGGGGUGCUCCGACAAGAUCCUCCGACGCUCAAGUCAAUACUCUGCUUCAACAGAAAUGGAGUGCUCGAGAAAAAAAUUUUGUAGAGUUUUGAGAUAAAGUUCAAAGCUUAGAGAAGAACGUAUCGAGGAUCCUUAUUUAUAGACGGAGAGCGUAACCGAUUGACAGCGACAUCUGUAACCGCCUGAUCGUGGGCUGUUCAGAGCUGCUUGGAGUUUGUUACAGAAAGUAGUGGCGUCAGGGGUCAUUUAGGGCCACGUGGAGUUGGUUACGGAGAGUGGAGUGGUGGCCAUUGUCGCGACUUGCCAG
rnacentral:lncRNA from 1 species